GAACCAGGGCUCUUUCCUACACUCCUCUUCACAUUCCCGACUUACACGCAGAGGGAAAGAGAAUUCAUAAAGGGAAUAUUUUUCUGCCUUUGAAGAUAUUCUCACAAGAUCGUUCUCCACGCCCAAGGUGUGGAAACAGGAAGAGAACUAGAACUGGAAGUAAAGCAUUGAAGAUGUGACUGAAUUGCUGCAAUCUCAUGAUCAAAUUUGAAUGGAUGAGGAGUUGCUUUUUAGGGAUGAGCAAAGAAAGUGGUUUCUCGAGAUGGAAUCUACUGGUUGCUCCUUGAGGGCAGGACAGUUCUUAUGGCUUUAUCCGUUGCGUAAGCACAGAGAGGUCUGCGAGGUCAAAACUAUUGUCAUGAUAGCAAGAUGCCUGUCUUUUUCAUUUAUUCUCACGGUGUGCAGAGGCUACAUGAUGUGUGAUGACAUCCUCAUUGAUGUUAAUGAAUGGUGCUAUACUUGAAUUUUCUAAGGUGUCAUUAGCAAUUCUCCUGCCUCAGCCUCCUGCAUAACUGGGACUACAGGGAAGCACCAUUUUCCACAAAACUCUCAAGAAGGACUUGUUGCAACUGGAAAAGCAAUUAAAUGUGAAUCGUGAUCCAGGAGAAAGUAACAACUCACAUAACUCCCAAAUUAAAAGUUUUCCAAAGAUAUAUCAUUUUUUUUCUCUUGGCCUUUUAAGAAACUAGCCAACAAAUACUCUUGACAGGUUUGUGUUUGGUUUUGAAAACACACACCUUAGUGUACUGAAAGAAAAACAAUUUCUUUUAAUUUGGUUUGUUGGUCCCACACCCCAUCUAUCAAUGUAUGUGCUAUUUACAAAUAAGUUCUAUACAGUAUUUUUGCAGUACCUUUGAUAAUUCCUAGACCUCUAUUUUCAUUCUGUGUAUUAAUGUGAAUAACAGAUGGAUAUUUUAAUAUUUAAGGCAGAUGGUAAACUUUCCUAUAGGUCUUGUGAGACUUCGUCUUAUAGGCUGAACACCAUUCACAAAAUGUAAUAAUGCUUCAUUCCUUCAGGUUGAGGUAAAGAACUUGAGCAACUGGAUUAGCAAAGCUGCAAAGAAUGAAAUGUGGCCUAAGAUGUAAUUAUGUUCUCUGCCCUUCCUUUGGGCCAGGGUAGUUUUGCACUUGACACAAUGGAAAAUAGGCCAUAAAGCCUGAAAAUAAAAUGUUCUAAACCCCAAUCUCACAGCACUUUAGUAGGCUUUUCACUAGGCAUCUUUAAAGUAUUUUCAACAAAAUACUAAUUAAGCUACCACUUCAAAAGAGCUUCAAGGAAAAGCUCUGCUUUCUUAUAAAAUCUUUUUGAGACAGAGUUUCGCUCUUGUCGCACAGGCUGGAGUGCAAUGGCGUGAUCUCGACUCACCGCAACCUCCGCCUGCUGGGUUCAAGUGAUUCUCUAGCCUCAGCCUCCUGAGUAGUUGGGAUUACAGGCGCCCGCCACCACACCUGGCUAAUUUUUGUAUUUCUAGUAGAGACAGGGUUUCACCAUGUUGGCCAGGCUGGUCUCCGGACCUCAGGUGAUCUGCACACUUCGGCUUCCUAAACUGCUGGAAUUACAGUCGUGAGCCACUGUGCCUGGUCUCAUAAAACUUUUAAAUUCCAUCACAUUACAUUCACACCUUUUGCUAACCAGGAUGAAGAGCCUUAAACAGGUUUAAAGAGUGCAGACUGCAGUUUUGUUAAUACUUUUUUCCUCUCCAAGUUCUUUUAUGCUAACAUUUCCAGUGGUGGGAAGUACAAGUACUAUUAGUCAUCUUCAUUCUUUGCAUUGCCAAAGAGUUCCUCUUUCUCCGUCUUGUUCUGAAGGAUGAACAAAAGCUUGAGGUGUACGUAUCAGAACGUAAACUGCAGCACGAAGACCACCAACGUUCACCCAGACUGUAUCCACCUUUCGCCAUACGUGUCGCAUUCCAGAUAACGCCUGUGUACACACAAAAAAAAUAACAAUUAGGUUGACAAUCUACUUUUACAUCAACUAGGAUUCUUAACUGCCAAGAUAGGAAACCUCAGGGGAAGAGAAAACAAAUCUUAUCCAAACAAACAUCCCCAAAUCUCAAAAAGAUCCCAAAGUUGCCACAGGCUGCGAUUUUGAGCUAAUGUGUAUAGCACCUUGGUAAAGCAUUUUGUGUCUUGAGUAAGUAGUACAGCUCGGCCUGUGGUAGGUGUGCAGACACGGCUCAUCUCCCGUAGGCAAGCUGGAUAAAGGUUCCAGUUUCUCUUCUUGGAUCCCAUCCUAUAAUAGAAGGUCUCAUGAGUCAAACACUUGCAAAAGAUACAAAAUAGAAGGACUAUAUGAAACAAAAACAGUUUCAUGCAUCCUGAGGCAUGAAAAAUAGCUGUAGUUUUAGAAACCAGACCUUUGCCAUUACAUGUCUAUGAAAUAAGUUGAGUUAGUAAACUGCUUAGAAUUCUGAAUCAAAAAAAUUUUUUUUAGACAACUGUGUUAGUUAUAUGACUUGUCCUCUUAGUAUAAUAAGCAGUCAAACUGUAUAAACCAAACAAGUGAUUAGAAAUCAUUUAGGCCAGGUGUUUUGGUGGCUCAUGCCUGUAAUCCCAGCAGUUUGGGAGGCUGAGGCGGGCAGAUCACCUGAAGUCAGGAGUUUGAGACCAGCCUGGCCAAUAUGGUGAAACCCUGUCUUUUAAAAAUACAAAAAUAAGCUGGGCAUGAUGGCAUGUGCCUGAAAUCCGAGCUACUCAGGAGGGUGAGGCAGGAGAAUCGCUUGAACCCGGGAGGCAGAGGUUACAGUGAGCCGAGAUCAUACCACUGCACUCCAGCCUGGGCAACAGAGCAGGGCUCUGUCUCCAAAAAAAAAAAAAGAAUCAUUUAUGCUGAGAAACAGAAUGAGAACCAAGUCUUCUACCACCUUUUUGUGUAGGAUAUAUAAUUCAAGAAUGGGCUAGAAAGUGAAUUACAGGUAAUUUAAAAAUGAACCUCCCAUGAUGGUCAGGAUUCCAAAUGUAGUUAAUACAUUCCUGAGUUCUCGGAAGAAACAUAAUGGGUGAAUCCAUCAUGUUGUUAAGUGAAAAACAGCUCUGCUAAGUCUGCUAAAAUUCAAGAUUUUUUUCCUGACUUAGAAUAAACGCAAGGAAAAUAAUGACAUAUUUAGAAGACAAGCAGGUACUAGUAUUUCUCACCUUUUUCCAAAUGGCAAAUCUGUUACAAUAAUAUCCACAGAGCCAGUUCUCAAUGGCAGAUUGCAGAUAUCCCACUGAACAGCAUCUAUGGGCAAGCCCCAGGAGGGUUUGCUGUGGGGACAAAGGAAAGGUGCUUCAACAUACUGUGAAGCAUAAAGUUAUUACAACAAUUUUUGUUUCUGAAGAGAGACUGCUACAGCAAAACAUAAACUGCUAAGGAUAUCAGUGAUAAUAUCAACCUAUUCAAAAUUUAAGAAAUGGCACAAAGGUAAAAAAUAGGUCAGGCUGGGCAUGGUAGCUUGUGCCUAUAAUCAGCACUUUCAGGGGCUGAGGUGGGAGGAUCACUGGACUCCAGGAAUUUGAGACCAGCUGAGCAACACUGUGAGACCUUGUCUCUAAAAUACUUUUUUAAGAAGUUAGCAGGGCAUGAUGGCACACACCUAUAGUCCCAGCUACUCAGGAGGCUGAGGUGGGAGGAUCACUUGAGUCCAGGAGUUGAAAGAUGCAGUGAGCUAGGAUUGUGCCGCUUUACUCCAGCCUGGGUGACAGAGCAAGACCCCCGUCUCAGAAAAAAGGGAAACAAACUGAAAACAUGAUUGUAAUGCAGAGAACUGCAAAAGACAACUUUAAAAACAAUGCUGAAGCAGUAAAUUACAUAACCGAUGAUACAAAAAUUUAAGUUGCUGAUAAAACAUACACUGGAGAAAAACAAUACUAAAGAAUAGAUAAUGGGGUGAUGUAUCUGAAGAAUAAAGUUUGUAAAACUAGUAAUAACAGGAGGCCUAAAAGAAAAACAGAUAGUAAAAUUGGCAAAUAUAUAGGUAAUUGUUUCAAGAUGAAAAACCAAAAGGAAAAUAUGUGCCAUGCUAUAUAAAACAAGACUAAGAAAAAAGUUAAGAUAAAAAAUAUAGAUGACAGAAGACAGAAUGAAUAAUAAUAAAUACAAAGGAUUUAAAUCCUCCUCAUUAAGGCAAAGCAACUGGUUUAAGAAACAAAAUAAUGCACAGGCUAAGAACUGAAGAUAAGUCAAAGGUUAUCAGCAGAAAUUAAGGAUUUAAUUGACAUUUAAUGAAGAAUUUAAGAAAAAAAUGCAAUAAAAGCAAUCAUUACAUAAUUUUUAAAAGUACACAUAAAAUAUGUAUUAUAACCGCAUACCAAUAACUGCACAAAACAAAAGGCAAAAAAUAUUAAAAACCAAAGUAAAAUGGAUAGAAAUGUACAGGUUGAGGCCGGGCACAGUGGCUCAUGCCUGUAAUCCCAGCACUUUGGGAGGCCAAGGUGGGCAGAUCAUGAGGUCAGGAGAUUGAGACCAUCCUGGCUAACAUGGUGAAAACCCGUCUCUACUAAAAAUACAAAAAAAAAAUAAGCCGGGCAUGGUGGCGGGUGCCUGUAGUCCCAGCUACUUGGGAGGCUGAGGCAGGAGAAUGGCGUGAACCCGGGAGGCGGAGCUUGCAGUGAGCCGAGAUCAAGCCACUGCACUCCAGCCUGGGCGACAGAGUGAGACUCCGUCUCAAAAAAAAAAAAAAAAAAAAAAAAAAAAAAAAAAAAAAAAAGUACGGGUUGAACAGACAGUGUAGGUACAAACAAGAUAAAAUAUUCAGAAGCUAGAAAGGUACGUUUGUUUAAAUGUUUAUCAGUUUUAAUUAAAAAAAAAAAAGACUGGCCAUAUACUAGGCUCAUUAAAAAAAACCCUCAAUAAAUAUGAAACAACCAUUCAAAAUUAAUUCAUCACAAUAAAUCAGUAUUUAAGAAAAUUGAAGCCUUCCAACUACUUGUCUUAAUACACGUAAAAGGAUUUAAUGUUGAUACAUAGACCAGCAGCAUCAGCAUUGUCCUGGAGUUUCCUGGAAAAUGCAGACUCUUAGGUCCCAUCCCAAACUACUAAAUCAGAUCUGUGUUAACAGUACUCCUAGGUGAUUCACAUGUACAUUAAUGUUUGAGAAGCACUGUCCUAAAAAAUUAGAUCAGAGAGACAAUGAAAUAUAUAACCAAUGACUUAGUAAUAAAAUAGAGGCGAGGCUAUAUAAACUGCAGUAUUUCUAUACGAUGGAAUUUAUGUAGUGACUUUAAAGACUAUGGUCCAGGUGUGGUGACUCGUCUCUAAUCCCAGCAAUUUGGAAGGCUGAAGCGGCAGAAUCUCUUGAGGCCAGGAGUUUGACACCAGCCUGGACAAAACAGCAAGACCCCCAUCUCUACGAAGAUUUUAAAAAAUUAGCUGGGCAUGGUGGCACAUGCCUGUAUUCCUAGCUACUAGGGAGGCCAAGGCAGGAGGAUUGCUUGAGCUCAGUAGGUUGAGGCUACAGUGAGCCAUGAUCAUGUCACUGCACUCCAGCCUGGGUGACAAAAUGAGACCCUGUACCCAAAGCAAAAAAGAAGCCUAUGUAAAAAUAUACUGUUUAAAAUUUUGUGAAAUUAAAAUGAGUCUAUAAAAUAUUCUUCCAAUAUGUAGGGGAAAAGACAUAUGAAUAAGACAAAUGAAAAAUUGCAUAUGGUGGGGAAAUUAUCGCUAAAAUAAUAUUUUAAAAAUAUAACUUAUUUUCAAUAAACUUUAAAAAUGUAAAUGGAGUCUCAUAGUAUAUUCAUUUUGGUUACAAUGACGUCACAAUGCACUGGGAGUUUUAAUUCAUAAAGUCAAUAUAAAAAGUGAUUCUCUAACUCUAAAAGAUGCUAAGAAAUCUUUUAAAUUUUUACCCUUCUUUAAUUUGGCUCUUGGUCAAUAAAGAUGCAAUGUUAUUUGCUGCUCUAUUCACAGCCAGUGGAUUAUUAUCACCAGCAAUAUGGAAACAGUCAGACCAUUCAGUGGCCCCCUAAAAGAUAAGAGUGUAUGUUAAAACAAAAGUAGCAAACUGUAAAAUAUGAUUAAAUUGUCAACAAACAAAGAAAAUCCAGUGCUUUUCUAGAGUGGCAAAACAUUGCAUGUUGUCAACUGUGCUAUUUCCCUGGCUGAAAAUGCCCUCUUAUUCUUUCUCUGCUUGCUGAACCUCUACCCAUCUCUUAAGACCCAGCUCAAACCUCAUGCCCUUUCAACAUCAACCUUAACUCUCCAAGCAGUCUUAUGUGCCCCUCCCAAAAACACUUUGUAUGUACGUACCUCUGCCACUGCACUUGUCCCACGGUUAAUUAUUUCUUCCCCUUUAUGCCUCUCAACUAACCUGGGAGCUCUCUGAGGUCAGGUCUAGUAUUUUAUUCAGUUCCUCAUCCAGCAGUGUCUGGCACACUAAAUUCUAAGUUAAUGCGGUUUGAAAAUAUUUGAGAUUUGUGGUUGUGGGAGUUUACAUAAUCUGAUAUAUUUGAAAAUUGCAAAAUAAAAUGCUAUUUCCGGCCGGGCAUGGUGGCUCACACCUGAAAUCCCAGCACUUUGGGAAGCUGAGGCAGGAGGAUUUCUUGAGCCCAGGAGUUUGAGACCAGCCUGGGAACAUGGUGAAAGCCCAUCUCUACAAAAACACAAAAAUCAGCUGGGUGUGAUGGUGUGCACCUGAGUCUCAGCUACUCGAGAGGCUGAGGUGGGAGAAUGGCUUAAGACAGGGAGGCAGAGGUUGCAGGGAGCUGAGAUUACACCACUGCACUCCAGCCUGGCUGACAGAGCAAGACCCCAGGUCAAAAAAAUAAUAGUAAAAUGCAAUUUCCUUUGUAUGAUAGGCUUUUGAAUGGUAACCACCAUAUCACUGGAAGGAUUUUGUAAUUAUAAAUAAAAAACCUGUCAGCAGAACAUAAAUACCAAGCUGUCACAUGUCAUUUGUGGAAUGAGGUGACGUGACCCUAGGCCUGAACAAUGUUCUAUGCAGAUUAACAGAAGGUUUCUGACACGAAAGCCGGGAAAGGUCUGCCUCUGCUUAGGGGUGAGUAGCAAACACCUUUGUGUUCCUUUGUGAACAGUAACAUACUUCUCAUCCAUGAGUGCAGUGUUUCAUAACUUUUUCUUUUGCCCAGACACUUGAGGGUGAUAACAUACCCUGUCUACAAUCCUACGAUGACAUCAAACAAAAGGGAAGUUGAAGUAUCCCAGAAUUUUGGGUGGGUGGGGAUGUAGAGGGGACCUAGAGUUUGAGGAAGGCUCUCAGUGAUUCCGAUUCCCAAAUAUUCUUUUUUUUUUUUCCUAAACCUAUUUGGAUUUUCAGCAUUGGAAAGAAUUGGGUUUUAUAGCAUAACACUUCUAAAUUAAAAAAAAAAAUUAUUCUAGAUCAAGUA
rnacentral:lncRNA from 10 species